UCCCGGUUGUCCCGGGCAGUCUCUUUAGAGUUCCCAGCAUUACCUGAUGGCAACUAAAGAUAAGGGUUGCGCUCGUUGCGGGACUUAACCCAACAUCUCACGACACGAGCUGACGACAGCCAUGCAGCACCUAUUCACCGGUCCCUUGCGGGAAAGCCUGCUUUCACAGGUUGGCCGGGAUAGUUAAAUCUGGGUAAGGUUCUUCGCGUUGCCUCGAAUUAAACAACAUGCUCCACCGCUUGUGCGGGCCCCCGUCAAUUCCUUUGAGUUUCAGCCUUGCGGCCGUAGUUCCCAGGCGGAGUACUUAAUGCGUUAGCUGCGGCACUGAAGGGGUCAAUACCUCCAACACCUAGUACUCAUCGUUUACGGCGUGGACUAC
rnacentral:misc_RNA from 1 species